GACGAACGCUGGCGGCGUGCUUAACACAUGCAAGUCGAGCGGUAAGGCCCUUUCGGGGGUACACGAGCGGCGAACGGGUGAGUAACACGUGGGUGACCUGCCCCUACGCUCUGGGAUAAGCCUGGGAAACUGGGUCUAAUACCGGAUAUGACUCCAUGACGCAUGUUGUGGGGUGGAAAGCCUUGUGCGGCUAGGGAUGGGCCCGCGGCCUAUCAGCUUGUUGGUGGGGUGAUGGCCUACCAAGGCGACGACGGGUAGCCGGCCUGAGAGGGCGACCGGCCACACUGGGACUGAGACACGGCCCAGACUCCUACGGGAGGCAGCAGUGGGGAAUCUUGCGCAAUGGGCGAAAGCCUGACGCAGCGACGCCGCGUGGGGA
rnacentral:rRNA from 1 species